GACGAACGCUGGCGGCGUGCCUAAUACAUGCAAGUAGAACGCUGAAGGAGGAGCUUGCUUCUCUGGAUGAGUUGCGAACGGGUGAGUAACGCGUAGGUAACCUGCCUGGUAGCGGGGGAUAACUAUUGGAAACGAUAGCUAAUACCGCAUAAUAGUAGAUGUUGCAUGACAUUUUCUUAAAAGGUGCAAUUGCAUCACUACAAGAUGGACCUGCGUUGUAUUAGCUAGUUGGUGGGGUAACGGCUCACCAAGGCGACGAUACAUAGCCGACCUGAGAGGGGUAUCGGCCACACUGGGAUUGAGAAAAGGCCCAGACGCAUACAGGGGGCAGCAGGAGGGAAUCAUCGGCAAUUGAGGGAAGACUGGCCGAGAAACGCCGCAUGAGGGAAGAAGGUUUUCGGAGCGGAAAGCUCUGUUGUAAGAGAAGAAAGAGUGUGAGAAUGGAACGUUCACACUGUGACGGUAUCUGACCAGAAAGCGACGGCUAACUACGUG
rnacentral:rRNA from 1 species